CCCUUAGAUGUUCUGGGCCGCACGCGUGCUACACUGACCGGUGCAACAAGUUUCUUUCCUUGGCUCGAUAGGCCUGGGUAAUCUUUGAACACCGGUCGUGAUGGGGAUAGAUCCUUGCAAUUUUUGAUCUUCAACGAGGAAUUCCUAGUAAACGCAAGUCAUCAGCUUGCAUUGAUUACGUCCCUGCCCUUUGUACACACCGCCCGUCGCACCUACCGAUUGAAUGGUCCGGUGAAAUCUCGGGACGGCGGCUUGGUCGCUUGCGUCCGACUGCUGAAACUUGAUUAAACCAUAUCAUUUAGAGGAAGGUGAAGUCGUAACA
rnacentral:rRNA from 1 species